rnacentral:rRNA from 1 species
UACCAGCACCCCGAGUGGUCGGGACGUUUAUUGGGCCUAAAGCAUCCGUAGCCGGUUCUGCAAGUCUUCCGUUAAAUCCACCUGCUUAACAGGUGGGCCGCGGAAGAUACUAUAGAGCUAGGAGGCGGGAGAGGCAAGCGGUACUCGAUGGGUAGGGGUAAAAUCCGUUGAUCCAUUGAAGACCACCAGUGGCGAAGGCGGCUUGCCAGAACGCGCUCGACGGUGAGGGAUGAAAGCUGGGGGAGCAAACAGG